GACGAACGCUGGCGGCGUGCUUAACACAUGCAAGUCGAACGAUGAAGCCGGAGCUUGCUCUGGUGAAUUAGUGGCGAACGGGUGAGUAACACGUGAGUAACCUGCCCUUGACUCUGGGUUAACUGCGGGAAACUGUAGCUAAUACCGGAUACGACCCUCGGAGGCAUCCCCUGGGGGUGGGAAGACUUUCGGUCAAGGAUGGACUCGCGGCCUAUCAGCUAGUUGGUGAGGUAAAGGCUCACCAAGGCGAUGACGGGUAGCCGGCCUGAGAGGGUGACCGGCCACACUGGGACUGAGACACGGCCCAGACUCCUACGGGAGGCAGCAGUGGGGAAUAUUGCACAAUGGGCGCAAGCCUGAUGCAGCAACGCCGCGUGAGGGAUGACGGCCUUCAGGUUGUAAACCUCUUUUAGCAGGGAAGAAGCGAAAGUGACGGUACCUGCAGAAAAAGCACCGGCUAACUACGUGCCAGCCGCCGCCGUAA
rnacentral:rRNA from 1 species